GGCCGCGUAGCGUAAUGGUUAACGCGCUAGAUUUCGGUAAACCGUUUCUGAUAUUCUCUAGAGAUUCCAGGUUCGACUCCUGGCGUGGUCG
rnacentral:tRNA from 1 species